CCUACGGGAGGCAGCAGUGGGGAAUUUUGGACAAUGGGCGAAAGCCUGAUCCAGCAAUGCCGCGUGAGUGAAGAAGGCCUUCGGGUUGUAAAGCUCUUUUGUCAGGGAAGAAACGGUGGGAGCUAAUAUCUCUUGCUAAUGACGGUACCUGAAGAAUAAGCACCGGCUAACUACGUGCCAGCAGCCGCGGUAAUACGUAGGGUGCAAGCGUUAAUCGGAAUUACUGGGCGUAAAGCGUGCGCAGGCGGUUUUGUAAGUCUGAUGUGAAAUCCCCGGGCUCAACCUGGGAAUUGCAUUGGAGACUGCAAGGCUAGAAUCUGGCAGAGGGGGGUAGAAUUCCACGUGUAGCAGUGAAAUGCGUAGAUAUGUGGAGGAACACCGAUGGCGAAGGCAGCCCCCUGGGUCAAGAUUGACGCUCAUGCACGAAAGCGUGGGGAGCAAACAGGAUUAGAUACCCUGGUAGUCCACGCCCUAAACGAUGUCUACUAGUUGUCGGGUCUUAAUUGACUUGGUAACGCAGCUAACGCGUGAAGUAGACCGCCUGGGGAGUACGGUCGCAAGAUUAAAACUUAAAGGAAUUGACGG
rnacentral:rRNA from 1 species